GCAUAAUUGGGCGAAAAAAAGGGGUCUAAAAAGCUAGGAAAGAGGGAAAAGGAGGGUAAAAAAAGCGGAGGUGUGUGUAAAAACUAGCCGUUGAAGGUACCAAAGCGGAAAAAAAAAGAGGCAACACAAAGAGCAGGUGGGGGGGAGGCCCAGUUGUGAAUGAUUCUCUCCCCACGCAAUACACGAGCCCUCCAACGGUACAACCCCCUUACGUGGCGCGAUUUCACUGGUCACUGUCGAAUGGGCCCCACCCACUCCAAAAAUGUAGCCGUUGCAAACCCCCUUUCCCCCUCUCUCUAAAUACUCCCCUUCUCCUCCCUUUCACUACACAAGAACCCCAAAAAAAAAAUAGUAGUAGGGAGGAGGAGAGAGAGAGCCCAAACUAUUCCCUUUGCUCUCCUCUCUGAUCCGUUCCGUCUCGAUCGAUCAUGGCCGUUGAAGUGAAAUCCGACGGGGCUCAGAUGGCGGAAUCCGUCGACGCUUCCCCCAAGGCGGAGGAGGUUGCGGAGAAGCAGAAGCAGCAGGAGCAGGAGCAGGAGCAGGAGCAGCAGGAAGAGGAGUACUCCGCGGUUCCUGCUGUGGCGAAAAGCGCUUCCUUCAAGGAGGAGAGCAACUUCCUCUCCGAUCUGAAGGAGAGCGAGAGGAAGGCGUUAACGGAGCUCCGAGCGAAGGUCGAAGAGGCCAUUGCUGAGAACAAGCUCUUCCGGAAGGAAACGGAGCAAGAGAAGCCCGAGGAGAAAGCAGAGGAGGAAAAAGCCAAAGCCGAAGCCGAAGAGGCGGAAAAGCCCGAUUCGGUUGAGAAAGAGGAGGAGAACUCCGAGACGAUCCACGAAGCCGCCGCGGCUAAAAAGCCGGAAUCCGAAGAAGCUGAAGCCGAGCCGGAGCGCAAAGAAGAGAAGCCCGCAGAAGCAGUCUCUGAGGAGAAGGCCGUCGAGCAGGUAUCACUCUGGGGAGUCCCUCUGUUACCGAGCAAAGGCUCGGAGAGAACCGACGUGAUCCUCCUAAAGUUCCUCCGCGCGCGCGAUUUCAAAGUGAAGGACGCCUUCGAGAUGCUCGAGAAAACGCUCCAAUGGAGGAAGGACUCGAACAUCGAUUCGAUCCUCGACGAGGAAGGGCUAGGGAGCGAUCUCGACGCGGCGUGCUACAUGGACGGCGUGGAUCGCGAGGGCCACCCGGUGUGUUACAACGUGCCGGGCGUGUUCGAGGACGGCGAGCUCUAUCAGAAGGCGUUCGGGACGGAAGAAGGGAGGGGGAAUUUCGUAAGGUGGAGGGUUCGGGUGAUGGAGAAGGGGAUCGAGGAGCUCGAUCUUAGGCCUGGCGGUGUCACGUCGAUUCUUCAGAUCAUGGACUUGAAGAACUCGCCUGGGCCGUCGAAGAAGGAAUUGAGGGCUACGAUGAAGCAGGUUGUGCAGCUGCUUCAGGAUAACUACCCGGAAUUUGUCGCGAGGACUAUCUUCAUCAAUGUUCCCUUCUGGUACUACGCGUUCAGCGCUAUUCUCUCUCCUUUCUUGACCCAAAGAACCAAGAGCAAGUUCGUCUUUGCGCGUCCAGCGAAGGUCACUGAAACUCUUCUUAAAUACAUCCCAGCUGAAGCUAUUCCAAUCAAAUACGGGGGCCUGAAGCGUGAAAAUGACGCUGAAUUUUCGGUAGAAGAUGGUGGGGUUACUGAGCUAAUAAUCAAAGCUAAUUCAACUGAAAAUAUUGAGAUUCCUGCUCCUGAGGCUGGAACUACAGUUAUUUGGGAUUUGAUUGUGCUGGGAUGGGAGGUGAACUACAAAGAGGAAUUCGUUCCAACUGAUGAGGGAUCAUACACUAUCAUUGUUAAGAAGGAGAAGAAGAUGGGCCCGCAAGAGGAGGCGGUCCGAAACUCGUUUAAAAACUACGAGCCCGGGAAAGUCGUCCUGACGAUCGAGAACAACACAUUCAAGAAGAAGAAGGUCUUGUACAGAUACAAGGCGAAGAAUUCGCCAAAAGAGUGUUGAGUGUUCAUAGUUCUAUGCUAUGCUUGUUUUGCUUAAGUUUGUGAGGGGAGAGGGAGAGGGGGGAUUAGAAUUAUUCUUUUAGGUUGGGCAGGAGUGAGAAGUACAAAUUCAUUUAUUGUCAUUCUUUUUGCUGGAUUCUUUGUGGCUUAUUUUGUUUGAAUGUGAAUCCUUGUAUGAGCUAUUAUUGGGUCUAAUAUAGAAAUAUUCGAUAUAGUUUUUGUGUUUA